rnacentral:rRNA from 1 species
CACGUAGGCGGUUAUCUAAGUCAGAAUUAAAAGACUGAAGCUCAACUUCAGUAUGGCUUUGAAACUGGAUAACUUGAGAUUUGGAGAGGAAAGCGGAAUUAGCAGUGUAGCGGUGAAAUGCGUAGAUAUUGCUAAGAACACCCGUGGCGAAGGCGGCUUUCUGGCCAAAAUCUGACGCUGAGGUGCGAAAGCGUGGGUAGCAAACAGGAUUAGAUACCCUGGUAGUCC